UACAGAGGGUGCAAGCGUUAAUCGGAAUUACUGGGCGUAAAGCGUGCGUAGACGGUUGUCUAAGUCGGAUGUGAAAUCCCCGGGCUCAACCUGGGAAUUGCAUUCGAGACUGAACAGCUAGGGUGCGGAAGAGGGAAGCGGAAUUUCCGGUGUAGCAGUGAAAUGCGUAGAUAUCGGAAGGAACAUCAGUGGCGAAAGCGGCUUCCUGGUCCAGCACCGACGUUCAGGCACGAAAGCGUGGGGAGCAAACAGGAUUAGAUACCCUGGUAGUCCACGCCAUAAACGAUGAGGACUAGACGUUGGAAGGGUUAGCCUUUCAGUGUCGCAGCUAACGCGAUAAGUCCUCCGCCUGGGGAGUACGGCCGCAAGGUUGAA
rnacentral:rRNA from 1 species